AAACUGUCAGCUCGCAAAGCAAUGGAAGUGACUCUGUCCUUGUAUGUCGUACUGAUUCCUUCAUUGGAGUUCCAUGACAGUGACCUCUUCGUGUCUGAAGCACACAGGGGUACCUCUCAAGCAAGAGCGUCCGUUCACGUUACCAUGAACAAAACAGCGUGUUCAAGGCAAGCGACCCGAUCGCUCGCAUGGUUCAGCAUGGGAUGACAAGGGAUCGACCAGUGUAUGUCGACAACUCUCUUUGCCUGGCACUUAAGCAUGCACAAUCGGACAAUGCGGGACCUAGUGUGUUGUGUGCCAGCUCUGGCUCUCGCAUGCCAAGCAGCGAUGUAGGUCAUGAGUGACCAGCAGAUUGGCUAUGACUACGGGUUUCCGACCGGAACUGAGGAGAGCAUUCGGAGGUCUACGUACCGCAGGGUGAGAGGUGAAAUUCUUAGACCCCUGUGUGACGAACUGAAGCGAAGGCGUUUCCACCAAGGGUGCGUCUGUCAAUCAAGAACGAGAGUGUGGGGAGCGAAGAUGAUCAGAUACCGUUGUAGUCCAUUACCGUAAACGAUGCCAGCUCGGUGAUGGGCCUGUGUUCUUACCAGAACGACUUGCUCAGCACCACCCCCCAUCAACGAGAAAUCCAAGCCUAUGGGUUCAGGGGGGAGUACCGUCGCAAGGCUGAAACUUAAAGGAAUUGACGGAAUUGCACCACAAGGUGUGGAGUCUGCGGCUUAAUUUGACACAACACGGGGAACGUUACCGGGUCAGGACGCAGCAAGGAUGGACAGAUUGAGAGCUCUUUCUUGAUUCUUUGGAGGGUGGUGCAUGGCCGUUUCUGGUUGGUGGAGUGAUUUGUCUGGUUGAGUCUGAUAACGAGCGAGAUCUCUGCCUCCCAAUAGCUGCUGGCCUCGUUACAGUAGGGCGAUGGGAGACCGAACCAGGGCACUGACUCGUCAGAGCUCUGUCCUCGCCUUCCGUUCUUCGUCCGAGAGUGCCAGUUCACUUCUUCGAGGAGCUAGGUGUGCUUACCAACACCUGCAAGCUAGAGCCGACAGCAGGUCUGUGAUGCCCCUAAAUGUCCUGGGCCGCACGCGCACGACAAUGGCACUGUGAACAUGCUCAUGCCCAAAUUGUCAUUGGGUCCUGCACCGACAGGUGUAGGUAACCCUCGAAGCCAGUGCCGUGGCUGGGAUAGAUGAUUGCAAUUAUUCGCCUUGAACGAGGAAUACCUAGUAGGCAUGGUUCAUCAGGCCAUACCGAUUAUGUCCCUGCAAUUUGUACACACCGCCCGUCGUUGCAACCGAUGGUGUCAGGAUAGAGGUCUCAAGAGCCAACACAGGUGGGUCACACUGCUUGCCCAGCGAAUCUGCCCAAUGUUCUGAUGCUAGAGGAUGCAAA
rnacentral:rRNA from 1 species